rnacentral:piRNA from 1 species
UNGCUAAUUGCUAUAAUCGGCUUCUUAGA